rnacentral:rRNA from 1 species
ACGCUCGACACCUACGGGAGACAGCAGUGGGGAAUAUUGCACAAUGGGGGAAACCCUGAUGCAGCGACGCCGCGUGAGCGAAGAAGUAUUUCGGUAUGUAAAGCUCUAUCAGCAGGGAAGAAACUGACGGUACCUGACUAAGAAGCACCGGCUAAAUACGUGCCAGCAGCCGGAGUAUCUGAGGCGGGCGUGGACGAAGGC